ensembl:snRNA U2 U2 spliceosomal RNA
AAAACACUUUAUGCUGAGGUCAAGUGCAGUACCUGUUCUUAUCAGUUUGAUAUUUGAUACAUCCUCUCUUGAAGACAGUGUAUGAAAUGGAGUUUUGGAUUUUUGGAGCAGAGAGAGGAAGAAGAAGUUGUUCUGUCCAUUCCCCAAAUCAGCCUAGAAUUGCAGUCCCUCCAGGAACCCCCUU